UAGGGAAGUGGGUGUGCUUGUAUGGUUUUCCGGUUCCCUACAUUUUGUCUUUCAAAGGAUAUUUCAACGAAAACUUUGUGUUUACCUUGCCAUCCCCUAAGCAAGUUAGUGACCAGAUGAUUUUGGGCAAGCUAUGUCUGCCAUUGCUCAUCGUGGAACUGCCCAGUGAGAGGAUUUACAUUCUGUUUGCCACUGUGUGCUAGGCAUCUUACUUCCAUUUCUAUCAACAUCAUGAUCCUGAACGCACAAGGAUUGCUGACACUAGUUUCCCACUAUCUUUCAUCUGUUGAAAGCAUUCAUAUAUGCAUUCUUGUAUGUUUGAUGACUUCCACAUUUUCAUCAUCAAACAGCCAAACUUUCCAUAACCAAACCUCUACCAAUCCAUCACUUUUUCAAAAGCAGUCUUCUCACCGUUAGCCAGCAAAAAACAUAUAUAGGCUUUGAGACCAUCUCUACCUUUUAGGACUUCCUUAUCUGCUAUUCUUGCGCCUUUGCCGCGUCGCCGUCACCAUCGCCUUCGCCUCAUCGCUCUUAUCGUCGCUCUUACCGUCGCUCUUACCUUCGCCUCAUCGCCAUCGCCUUCGCCCCAUCGCCAUCGCCAUCGCCAUCGCCUUCGCCCCAUCGCC